GUUGAACGCUGGCGGCGUGCUUUACACAUGCAAGUCGAGCGACAACACGGGGUGCUUGCUGGCCGCAAGUUACGGACGGGUGAGUAAGUUAUCCGUACAUACCCAAUAUCUAGGAAUGGCUACACGUAAGCAUACCUAAUACCGCAUAGGCCCUACUAGGGAAAGGAAUGGAUCAUAAGUCAUUGCACGAUUUGAGCGCACUAUAUCGUAUUAGCUAGUUGGUGAGGUAACGGCUUACCAAGGCGACGAUCCGUAGCAGGGCUGAGAGGCCGACCAGCCACACUGGAACUGAGACACGGUCCAGACUCCUACGGGAGGCAGCAGUGGGGAAUCUUCCACAAUGGGCGAAAGCCUGACGCAGCAACCCCGCGUGAGUGAUGAAGGUCUUCGGGUCGUAAAGCACUGUUAGUAGGAAAGAACAGACGUGUAAGUAUCUAUGGUCGACCUGACGGUACCUGCACAGUAAGCCACGGCUAACUACGUG
rnacentral:rRNA from 1 species